rnacentral:lncRNA from 12 species
GAGCUGACCAGGAUGGGGGGGGGCACAGGAGCAAAUCCCAGAGGGCCCCCAGGGACCCCCUCCAGGUAUGGCCAGGGCCUCAGGGGCUGCGACCUCUCCCAGGAAAUACGUCCCCGCAGAAAGACACGGGGCGGGGGCUCCGAGAAGCUGCUGGCACGUCGUAGGCAGCAGGUGAAACCCCGGCGCCUGCCUGCAGGAGUGAACAGGUGCCGCCUUCUGUGCAGCAGCAUUAGGCCCUGUUCACAGGUGAUGCAAUGGGAACAGAGGCCUGAAGUCGCCUCCUCCAGGACGCAGAGGAAGCAAAUGAUGGAGCUGAGACUUCAGGGCAGGUUGGGUCACCGCGCGGCCUGCGCUCUUACCCUGACCGACACCGCCGGCCCUGACCUGAAUCAGGGGCAGGUGCUUCCAGGUACCAAAAACUGUGGAAUUUUAGAAUCAGAAUUGGAAUUCGAGCCAAAAGUCAAGAAUAUUAAGACAUAAACAGAAAAGUCGAGGAUGUGGGACCGUGGUCCUCCCUACCAGAAACAGGCUUUGUCUAAAUAUGGGUUGUAUGCAAAUGGAUUACUGCUUCUCCGGAUUUCGGACAGAAGAAACAGACAGACAGAUGUCAAUCCCAUCAGAUCUGCAUAGAAGAAAACAUCUUGGGAAACCUCACGUAAAAAGCCAAGUGUAGCUGCUUAUUGACCAGCGAUGUUCUAUCAGGUUUUCUUUAUAAACGAGACCUGAGAGACAGGAUUUUCCCUGGUUUAUCCACAUGUGACACUCAGCAGAUUCAAAGAUGCUCCUGAAGAAGCAGGUAAUGGACUUGAUAAUAUAUAUAUAAUCAAUCAUUAUAUAUUAUAU